GCCAGCAGCCGCGGUAAUUCCAGCUCCAAUAGCGUAUAUUAAAGUUGUUGUGGUUAAAAAGCUCGUAGUUGAACCUUGGGCCUGGCUGGCCGGUCCGCCUCACCGCGUGCACUGGUCCGGCCGGGCCUUUCCCUCUGCGGAACCCCAUGCCCUUCACUGGGUGUGGCGGGGAAACAGGACUUUUACUUUGAAAAAAUUAGAGUGCUCAAGGCAGGCCUAUGCUCGAAUACAUUAGCAUGGAAUAAUAGAAUAGGACGUGUGGUUCUAUUUUGUUGGUUUCUAGGACCGCCGUAAUGAUUAAUAGGGACAGUCGGGGGCAUCAGUAUUCAAUUGUCAGAGGUGAAAUUCUUGGAUUUAUUGAAGACUAACUACUGCGAAAGCAUUUGCCAAGGAUGUUUUCAUUAAUCAGGAACGAAAGUUAGGGGAUCGAAGACGAUCAGAUACCGUCGUAGUCUUAACCAUAAACUAUGCCGACUAGGGAUCGGACGAUGUUACAUUUUUGACGCGUUCGGCACCUUACGAGAAAUCAAAGUGCUUGGGCUCC
rnacentral:rRNA from 1 species